rnacentral:rRNA from 1 species
UACGUAGGGUGCAAGCGUUGUCCGGAAUUAUUGGGCGUAAAGAGCUCGUAGGCGGUUUGUCGCGUCUGCUGUGAAAACGCGAGGCUCAACCUCGCGCCUGCAGUGGGUACGGGCAGACUAGAGUGCGGUAGGGGAGAUUGGAAUUCCUGGUGUAGCGGUGGAAUGCGCAGAUAUCAGGAGGAACACCGAUGGCGAAGGCAGAUCUCUGGGCCGUAACUGACGCUGAGGAGCGAAAGCGUGGGGGAGCGAAACAGG